CUUUCCAGAGACCUUUCUCCUCGGGAUGAUAAGACUUGGGGGGUGUCUGCUGCCUCCCGCCUUUCCCCGUCCCCCCUUUCCAGUCCCCAUUUUCCCCGCUCUUCCUGCUCCCCUCCAAGGCUCCCCUCUGGGUCUGAAAAAAACGGGCCAAGUAGCCGCUGAGCAGCAGGACAGGUAGGGAGGCGGGUGGAGGGUGGUUUGCUCCUGCGGAAGGGAUGCUUCCUCUCCUCCCCACGGCUCCCCCCUCAUCUCCCCGUGCAACAGGUAGAGAGAGGUGUGAAGAGCAGCUCCCUGGCCGCUGAGCUCAUUCCUGGCCAUCGCGACGCCGCCUUUGUUCUCGGCUGGAUGCUUCCCUCCCCCCCAAAAAAGUGAAAGGAAAAAGUGUGAACCAGAAUCUGGUUUCCCCCGUUCCCGUUGUCUCCCCGCCACUCUUCCCCCUGAUUGAAUCUCGCCAGCCUGACGUCCCAUUUCCCUGAAAUCAAUCGCCUUGUCCUUGAGGAGCGCCACGGGAAUUAAAUGUAAGCGCAGCCAAAACACCAAGGGGAUUGUUCUCAAUGACUGUCAAGGGGAUCCAGACAAAGAGGUGCAUCUACCGGAAAUAAUGAUUUGAGAGAUUCCCGUCCUUGCCCCCCUCCCCCAACCUCCCGCCUCCAUUAAAAUUGUUUUUCUGGGAGGCUCAGUUAGAGGGAAGUUUUGAACUGGAGGCUGGGAUGAGGCGUGGAAGGAAAGUCGAGGAACUAGUCUUGCCUUUCAGAAAAAGUUCGAGGAUCAAGUUGAUUUAAAGAAGAGCCUGAAGUCAGACCUGAACUGCUGUUGGAUCCGUAAGGACUGGUGUGUGUAUGUGUGUGUGUGUGGGGGGGGUCGGUGGAAGAGAGGUGGGAGGGAAGAAGGGGGUGAGAGGGACAAACCUGCUGCCGCUUGCUGGUUCUUUGUUUGCUCUGGGAACUUGAACAAAAGAGGAAACUCAGAUGAACUCUCCAUCUCCCCUUCUGGGUUAUCUGGUCUUUCAGCAGUUUAUGCAGACGCCUCUUAAUUUCCCCCAAAGACCCACAAAGCUUUCCAACUACUUCUCAAAGGGUCUUCUUGCCUUAUUAUAUUACUAUUAUCAUCAUUACUAUUUACAAGUUAGUGAAGUGGAAGGUAAAAUUAUGAAUGUCAGUGGAAAAGGCUUCUACCAAAAUAUUACAUCUAAAUUGGUCUCAAGAUACUUUUGA
rnacentral:lncRNA from 1 species